UACGUAGGGUGCAAGCGUUAAUCGGAAUUACUGGGCGUAAAGCGUGCGCAGGCGGUUCUAUAAGACAGAUGUGAAAUCCCCGGGCUCAACCUGGGAACUGCAUUUGUGACUGUAGAGCUGGAGUACGGCAGGAGGGGGAUGGAAUUCCGCGUGUAGCAGUGAAAUGCGUAGAUAUGCGGAGGAACACCGAUGGCGAAGGCAAUCCCCGUGGGCCUGUACUGACGCUCAGUGCACGAAAGCGUGGGGAGCAAACAGG
rnacentral:rRNA from 1 species